UGCCCCAGUAACGGCGAGUGAAGCGGCAACAGCUCAGAUUUGGAAUCUGGCCCCCAGGGCCCGAGUUGUAAUCUGGAGAGGAUGCUUCUGGCGCGGCGCCGUCCGAGUUCCCUGGAACGGGACGCCGGAGAGGGUGAGAGCCCCGUACGGUCGGACGCCUAGCCGAUGUGAAGCUCCUUCGACGAGUCGAGUAGUUUGGGAAUGCUGCUCAAAAUGGGAGGUAAAUUUCUUCUAAAGCUAAAUACCGGCCAGAGACCGAUAGCGCACAAGUAGAGUGAUCGAAAGAUGAAAAGCACUUUGAAAAGAGAGUCAAACAGUACGUGAAAUUGUUGAAAGGGAAGCGCCCGUGACCAGACUUGCGCCCCGCGGACCAUCUGGCGCUCUGCGCCGGUGCACUCCGCGGGGCGUGGGCCAGCAUCGGUUCUCCCAGGGGGACAAAGGCGGCGGGAACGUGGCUCCCACGGGAGUGUUAUAGCCCGCCGCGCCAUGCCCCUGGGGGGACCGAGGACCGCGCUUCGGCAAGGAUGCUGGCGUAAUGGCCACCGGCGACCCGUCUUGAAACACGGACCAAGGAGUCAAGCAUUGGGGCGAGUGUCUGGGUGCCAAACCCGCACGCGAAAUGAAAGUAAACGCAGGUGAGAGCUUCGGCGCAUCAUCGACCGAUCCUGAUGUUCUCGGAUGGAUUUGAGUAAGAGCCUUACCGCUUGGACCCGAAAGAUGGUGAACUAUGCCUGUAUAGGGUGAAGCCAGAGGAAACUCUGGUGGAGGCUCGCAGCGGUUCUGACGUGCAAAUCGAUCGUCAAAUAUGGGCAUGGGGGCGAAAG
rnacentral:rRNA from 1 species